CGAGUGACACAGCAGUGAGAAAUGCCUAUCAGUAACUUAAACCCCCGAAACUCCACCUUCCGGGCGCGCGGCGCGGAGCCGGGCGGUGGGAAUGGAGCGAGCAGAUUGAGGCCGCCACUGCAGCGCCGCCAGCAUGAACUUGGCCGCGAGCUGAAGCGACGGGCGGCGGGCGGGCGCGGGGGCACCGGCCGCUAGCCAGGGGGUGAUCUUCAAUCCGGCUGGGCCAUUAGGCGGGCGCCUGGGUAGGCUGCCCGUGCCGGCGGCCGCCCGCCCCUCUGGCUCUGCCCUGGCUGCUGCUGGAGCUCCGCAACACGCCCUGUGUCUAGGUCGUUUGGAAAACGCCUUGGAGAGUCAAGAAUAAAAUUGCAGGUCAAACAAUGGAUGACUGGAAAAGUCGGCUUGUAAUCGAGAACAUGCUUCCCCAUUUCAACAUGGUGGGAAAUCGUCAGGAGACCAGAAAGCUCCAGGAAUCGGGAACCAGUAAGAGAAGACAGGAAGGAGAGAACUUCCACUUCACAGGCAUGGCUGAUGGGAGCUAUCCUAAUAAAAUCAAGAGACCUUGCCUUGAAGAUGUCACCCUGUCUAUGGGCCCAGGUGCCCACCCUACUUCUCUCUCUACAGAGAUGCAGAUGCCCACAUUAAACAUGAAUCCCACUUCUGCAGACCUGGGAGUGGCUGGCCAAUCAUUACUCCUUGAGAACAACCCUCUGGACAGUAAUGUUGUGAAUAGCAGUGCUAUGGGCUCACCAUUUGGGGUGCCAUCAACUGCAGACACGGGGCUGAAAGGACAUGCUGUUCCUUACUAUGAGAAAAACAACAGUAUGCCAGCUGUAGACCAAGAGCUUCAAGAUCUGCUGGAGGAACUAACCAAAAUUCAAGAACCUUCUUCAAAUGAUCUUGACCUUGAGAAGAUUCUGGGGAGCAAGCCAGAAGAACCUCUGGUUUUACAUAACCCCCAGGCCCCUCUUGGUCCCCCUGCCAAGCUUCCAGUUCAGAUGCCACAUAUGGAAAGCCUUGGAUCCAGCAAGGAGUUUGCAUCUAGCUGCAGUCAAGUUGCUGGCACAUCACUACCCAUCAUGCCCUCCUCCACAGGGAUGAGCUACUCCAUUCCUUCCAGCAGUAAGCAGAUAGUCUCAUCCAGUUCUUCAACAGCACAGGCUCAGGUCAAAAACCAGGUCCAGAACAUGCUCCCUGUCACUAUGCCUCCAUUAUCUGUGCCUCAGUGGCAUCAUGCCCACCAGCUGAAAGCACUGGCAGCCAGCAAGCAGGGAUCUGCUACAAAACAAGGUUCCAACCGCAAUUGGUCCAGUUUGCCUCCUCCGGGUCUUUCUCCACCUUACCUUCCAGUGCCAUCUCCUCACCCACCACCACCACAACCACCACCACCACCAUUCAGCCCACAGAACUUCACAGCAUCCUGCAUGUCAUCCAGUAGCUUAUCUGGCAGUGCUGUGCAAAGCUCGCCCAAUGCCUUACUUUCCAGCAUGGCCCCCAGCAGCAAUGCUUCCCUUGGGCCCACCUUGCCCUAUGUUCCAGCAAAGCUCCCGGGCUUGCCUCUCAAUCAGCAACCACAAUUCAGCCCCCAGAGCUCCAUUCUUGCCAAUCUGGUGUCCUCUAGUGUCAAAAGCCCUCAAGGACACCUGAUAUCUGCUCUGCCUACCAGCACCCCAGGGCCAUCCCCACCAUACCGCCCUGAGAAUCUCUCCAGCCCCGGCUUGCCACAGCAGUCCUUCACUCCACAAUACUCUCUGAUCAGGAGCCUCACUCCCACCAGCAAUCUGCUAAGCCAGCAGCAGCAACAACAGCAACAGCAGCAGCAGCAGCAGCAGCAGCAGCAGCAGCAGCAACAGCAGCAGCAGCAUCAGGCAAAUUCCAUCUUUAAGCCUAUGACCAGCAGCCAGCAACCUAAAACCUUGAGCAUGAUCAUGCAGCAGGGCCUAUCAAGUUCCAGUCCAGAAGCACCUGAGCCCUUUACCUUCAGCAACACCAAGCCCUUGUCACAUUUUGUUUCUGAGCCAAGCCCCCAGAAGAUGGCCUCCAUGUCUACCCACUCCAGGCAGUCAUCUUUGCUCCACUACCUGCCUCAGGCAACACCAGCACAUGCUCCUUCUGCCACUGCCUCCUCCACUGCCACUGCCACUUUGCAACUCCAGCAUCAUCAUCAACAGCAUCAUCAUCAACAGCAUCAUCAUCAACAGCAGCAUCAUCAACAACAGCAUCAUCAACAGCAUCAUCAUCAACAGCAGCAGCAUCAACAGCAGCAGCAUCAACAACAACAGCAGCAGCAACCUGAUCAGUCUUCAUUCCUUCUGCAGCAGAUAAUGCAGCAACCCCAGCGCUUUCAGCGCAUGAUGGCUUCUGAUUCUAUGCCUGCUCUGCCUGGACAGGGCUGUUGCCAUCGCUGUGCGUGGACUUCUACGGCUCUCUGGCUGGAGCACCAGCAUCAGCAGUGGAACUCUCUCACUAGCACUCAUGGACAUGUGCCACCAUCUAACCUUGAGUGAAUAUUCCCCUUUCCAUUGGGCUUCUGGGUGAGCACAGCAGACUACUUAUAGCUCAAGGAUGAAAAACAAGAGACACUACUUGACACAGAAAAAAAAAGACCACUCCCCAUUAUGCCGGCUUCCCCCCUCCUUUGAGACAUAGCUGCUGCUAGAUGCUUGUGUGCUUGUUAGGGAGACAAGGCUCUACGGCCACCUCCUUGAAGUUGGGAAGCUUUUGCCAAUGUGGGCAUCAGAAUAAGGUUAUUUUCAUUGCUGUAUCUGAAGGAACUGGAUCAUGCAUUUCACACACUCAGAAACAGUGAAAUCCCUGACACAUAAAACAGGAUGGCAAGGAAUGCCCACACUAGCCCCAAAAACCUUAAUACCUUGCCGGGAUCUGAUGCAGUGAGGACUGCAGCUCAGGAUGUAGCUGAGAGGAGGAGGCACAGGUUUGGCUGGUUUUACACUCACCUCAGCAUAUCUACACACUAGUGCCUACAAGCCAUGGUAAAUUGUGUGCUCUGUUAUGAAGGUUGGGUAGGGGUGGGAGGGAUUUGAAGGUGCCAAAGUCACUGUCAAUAAAUCAGCUAUCUGACUUAGCUUUAUUCCUGCUUUUAACAAGUCAGUAUUGCUUAAGGCAGGACAUCACUCACACGAAACCCUUUUAUGGGCAUUAAGUAUUCUCCCAAAUCAACCAAAAUGCAUUUUUUUAAAAAAGCAUUGGUACUAUGGAGGGUGGGGGGGAGAGAUGUCACAAGGUAAGUACGUUUUCUAUGGAGAGAUACCAUACCUUCCAACUGAUCUUAAAAGGAGUCUGUGACCCAUAGCAAGCUAAGAGCACAAAGAUACUUGGUUUUGCUUGCCCCAGACCAGUUGAUGUAUAUAACCACAACACUUAAAGAUUCCAAUUAGUUGGUCAGGGCAGUGACAAAAUCAGUCAGAAGCCUUUUGUGGCCAAACAGCUGAUAGAUUGUUCAAUCGGUUGUUGUAGACUCAUGUAGACAAAGCCUGCAAGCUUGGGGAAGCCAGGCCUCCCCAUGUCAGCCUGGGGCGACAGCCCCCAUCCCGCCAGGCCCUGGGGAGUGAGUCCUUCCUGCCCGGCAGCUCCUUUGCUCAUGAGCUGGCCCGAGUCACAUCCACCUCCUCGUACAACACCUCAGAGGCAGCCCCCUGGGGCGGCUGGGAUCCGAAGGCCUGGAGGCAGGUGCCUGCUCCACUACUGCCUAGCUGCGAUGCUGCAGCCAGAGAAGCAGAGAUCAGGUCCUAUGGCAAUGACCCCUAAACAGCAGAAUGUGUGUAUCGCUCAGCAGAUGACUCAAUUUCAAGCAGUACAAGAACAAGUCAUCUCCAAGUGUAAUCAAACCAAGAAGAGUCCCCCAUCCAACCAGCAAAAGAUGCCACCCAAAAAUGAGCUCCUUCAGGACAAUCAGAUUCCAAGAAUAUUACCACCCACAAGUCACAUGGGUCAUCAACUCUGAAGAAGCAGCAAAUCAACACCGGCCUUCCAUUUCCCAUCUCCUCAGGCUUGGGUCAGGAUCCCCUGAAUAGUCUUGGCUCUGUCUGUCCCAAAGCCAAGGCCAUACCCUUAGAAGUGCCCCUGUCCAAGCUCUGUAUAAGUCUCCUGGGCAGCCAAUCCUUGACUCCCCACCAACUCAGUCUCCCCAGUGUGCCAAUGAUGUCUUCAGUGUUCAGUAAUGCAGUCUGGACAGUGGCAGCUGCAGCUGUAGCCACGCCAGUUUCAAAGGAAUCACCCCUGAGCCAAGUAGAUAAUAGAAUUGUGCCGCAUUUUGAUAGCAACUCCAUCAUCUUUGCCAAGGCACCCAGGAGUAUACAUACCCCCAACAGAUCUAGUAUUUCCGUCUCAGAAGGUUGUGGUUCAGGCCAAUCAGAUGGCCCCAGGAGCCAGGCCUGGCCAGAAGGUGUGUGCUGCUCUGGCCAGCCACAGAUUCAGCCUACUGGGCAAUCAGAACCUUGUGCAGAACCCAGCACAGGGGCCCGUGCCUGUGUUGAGCACCAAGUCCCUCCAACAGAGCAUAGCCAGCUGCUCUCCCAUGAGUCCUAUUCAGGGACUAGAGCCUCCAAGCUAUGCAGCUGCUACUGCUGCUACUAGCCAGUCCCUAGGUACAUUGAUUAGAAUGGGCACAUCCCCUGAGACACAGGACAAUGUCUGAUUUCACCAUCAUCUGCAGGCAGUGAGGUGGAUUUCAUGGAAGAGCUUUUGGAAGGCUCCAGUGUGGCCCCAGAUGAAGACUGGGUGUGCAACUUGAGGCUGAUAGAUGACAUUUUGGAGCAGCAUGCUGCUGCCCAAAAUGCUACAGCCCAGAAUGCUGACCAAGUCACCCAGGGUGCUGAGGAGCUAUACAUCAAAGUAGGGUGCUCCAGAAAAGCCCCAUACUGUCACUCAAAGGAGUGGCCUGAAUCUGCAGCCAGCUUGAAACUGGCCCCAGACACCCACACUAGGGUCCUAGUCUGAAUCGUAUCAGCCCUGCCCGUCCCUUUAUCUACCUGAUAAACAAAAAGCUGGUGAUUUUUCAAGCUACUUGUACAUAUUUGAAAAUUUUGUAAAUGGUUUUCCUAAUCAUAAAUGACAGAAGUAUUUAUACUUGGUUUUGUGGCUUUGUAAAUAAAGUGGCAGCUUUGGUUUCAAUAGAGUUGUGUUUAUUAUACAUUGUUCCAAAUAUGCAGACUGUGUUGUUCGCUCCAGUGAUAACCUUGUUAAACCAGGUGGCUGAGUCACUGAGGUUUUCAUGCCACGAGAGACGUGGAUGUGACCAAGGGGUGUUGUGCAAACUGACAAAUGCCAAAUAGAAAGCCACUUGGUCAUUAAUUUCCACUCCAUUACAAACUGUACUACCCAAUGUGACUCUUAGUCUUUUGCAAGCCUUUAAGUCUCAGCUAGUUCUUUCCUAAUGAACAUUUACAGCAAAAGUCACCGUAUGGUAUCUUGUCCCACAGACACACUCAUGGGAGGCCAAGAGUGUCCUUUAGGUUUGGUUAAGAGAGGUGCAGAAAUAGCCUGUGAGCUGAGCACUGUGUGAGCUGGCCACCUUGAGGAACUAGAGCGUUCCCUUCCCUUUGUCACCUAUGGUGACCUUCAGCUGCAGAGAAAGCCCCAGCUUUAGAUAGCUUUGGUGCACCAUCACAGAGUGAUGCUUUAAAGUCUGCUUUAAACCAUUUGACACUCAUUUUGAUGUGAAUCUCUGUGGCUUGGGGGGAAAGUCUGUAAACAUUAAUGGUUGAUUUGGGGUUUGUCUUUAAUGGUUUCUAUUUGCAGUUCUUGUCAUGUAUAUUUAAGUGUCUGUUAGAGAAACUCCACAGCCACUGUCCUGUAAACUUUGCUCAGUGUCCAGAUUUUGUGUAAUCACAUUUUAAUUGACACCCUGUAUUUUGAUUCGACAUUUGAGAUCUGGCAUCUAUUUUGAGUCAGUGAUUUUUUUUGUUGGAUUUUUUUUUCUUUUUCUUUUUUUCUUUUUCUCUUUGUUCUGUAAUAAACAGCCAGGAGAAAAGUG